CAGAAAGGGAGUGUCCAAGAUUUCAAUAUUUCUGAAGGGAGCUGCUGACAGAGAUGUAGGAAGCGCUGAAAAGAUUCUUCAGUGCUGAUGGCCUGCUGCAUCCAGCAGAGUCGGAGUGAACCUACUGUAAGACAACAUCUCCAAGAUGCUAUUGACCACAAGACUAGUACAGGUUAUUAGAAACUGCACAGCGCAGGACUUGCAGGACUUGUGAGGACUUCAGAUGAUACCAGUACUCAAAAGACCUUAGAUGAUGGCAACUAUAGAUGGACAUACAAACUACCGCCACUGCAAAAAAGAUUCUAAUUUGAAAGAAGUUUAUAAUGCAUGUUCGCUACUCCCAAUUCAGAAGACUGAAUCAGCCUGUGUAUCUGAAUGUUUCUCAUACUCACGCCUCUCUGCCACGUCUGAAUUUGGGAUUUUCCUUAGCUGUCAGUUAUAAACGUCAAAAUUAAAAGAAAUAAACAUUUGAA